rnacentral:rRNA from 1 species
UACGAAGGGGGCUAGCGUUGCUCGGAAUUACUGGGCGUAAAGCGCACGUAGGCGGUCUUUUAAGUCGGGGGUGAAAUCCUGGAGCUCAACUCCAGAACUGCCUUCGAUACUGGAAGACUUGAGUCCGGGAGAGGUGGGUGGAACUGCGAGUGUAGAGGUGAAAUUCGUAGAUAUUCGCAAGAACACCAGUGGCGAAGGCGGCUCACUGGCCCGGUACUGACGCUGAGGUGCGAAAGCGUGGGGAGCAAACAGG